GGAGUAACUUACUGGAAACCGGAGCUAAUACCGGAUAAUAUAUUGAACCGCAUGGUUCAAUAGUGAAAGACGGUUUUGCUGUCACUUAUAGAUGGAUCCGCGCCGCAUUAGCUAGUUGGUAAGGUAACGGCUUACCAAGGCAACGAUGCGUAGCCGACCUGAGAGGGUGAUCGGCCACACUGGAACUGAGACACGGUCCAG
rnacentral:rRNA from 1 species